rnacentral:rRNA from 1 species
GUCGAACGGCAGCACGGACUUCGGUCUGGUGGCGAGUGGCGAACGGGUGAGUAAUGUAUCGGAACGUGCCUAGUAGCGGGGGAUAACUACGCGAAAGCGUAGCUAAUACCGCAUACGCCCUACGGGGGAAAGCAGGGGAUCGCAAGACCUUGCACUAUUAGAGCGGCCGAUAUCGGAUUAGCUAGUUGGUGGGGUAACGGCUCACCAAGGCGACGAUCCGUAGCUGGUUUGAGAGGACGACCAGCCACACUGGGACUGAGACACGGCCCAGACUCCUACGGGAGGCAGCAGUGGGGAAUUUUGGACAAUGGGGGAAACCCUGAUCCAGCCAUCCCGCGUGUGCGAUGAAGGCCUUCGGGUUGUAAAGCACUUUUGGCAGGAAAGAAACGUCAUGGGCUAAUACCCCGUGAAACUGACGGUACCUGCAGAAUAAGCACCGGCUAACUACGUGCCAGCAGCCGCGGUAAUACGUAGGGUGCAAGCGUUAAUCGGAAUUACUGGGCGUAAAGCGUGCGCAGGCGGUUCGGAAAGAAAGAUGUGAAAUCCCAGAGCUCAACUUUGGAACUGCAUUUUUAACUACCGAGCUAGAGUGUGUCAGAGGGAGGUGGAAUUCCGCGUGUA